rnacentral:rRNA from 1 species
CCUACGGGAGACAGCAGUAGGGAAUCUUCCACAAUGGGCGAAAGCCUGAUGGAGCAACGCCGCGUGGGUGAAGAAGGUCUUCGGAUCGUAAAACCCUGUUGUUAGAGAAGAAAGUGCGUGAGAGUAACUGUUCACGUUUCGACGGUAUCUAACCAGAAAGCCACGGCUAACUACGUGCCAGCAGCCGCGGGAAUACGUAGGGGGCAAGCGUUAUCCGGAUUUAUUGGGCGUAAAGGGAACGCAGGCGGUCUUUUAAGUCUGAUGUGAAAGCCUUCGGCUUAACCGGAGUAGUGCAUUGGAAACUGGGUGGCUUGAGUGCAGAAGAGGAGAGUGGAACUCCAUGUGUAGCGGUGAAAUGCGUAGAUAUAUGGAAGAACACCAGUGGCGAAAGCGGCUCUCUGGUCUGUAACUGACGCUGAGGUUCGAAAGCGUGGGUAGCAAACAGGAUUAGAUACCCCAGUAGUC